rnacentral:rRNA from 1 species
UGCAGUCGAGCGGCAGCGGGAAGUAGCUUGCUACUUUGCCGGCGAGCGGCGGACGGGUGAGUAAUGUCUGGGGAUCUGCCCGAUGGAGGGGGAUAACUACUGGAAACGGUAGCUAAUACCGCAUAACGUCGCAAGACCAAAGUGGGGGACCUUAGGGCCUCACACCAUCGGAUGAACCCAGAUGGGAUUAGCUAGUAGGUGAGGUAAUGGCUCACCUAGGCGACGAUCCCUAGCUGGUCUGAGAGGAUGACCAGCCACACUGGAACUGAGACACGGUCCAGACUCCUACGGGAGGCAGCAGUGGGGAAUAUUGCACAAUGGGCGCAAGCCUGAUGCAGCCAUGCCGCGUGUGUGAAGAAGGCCUUCGGGUUGUAAAGCACUUUCAGCGGGGAGGAAGGGGAUGAUGUCAAUAGCAUCGUUCAUUGACGUUACCCGCAGAAGAAGCACCGGCUAACUCCGUGCCAGCAGCCGCGGUAAUACGGAGGGUGCGAGCGUUAAUCGGAAUUACUGGGCGUAAAGCGUACGCAGGCGGUUUGUUAAGUCAGAUGUGAAAUCCCCGGGCUUAACCCGGGAACUGCAUUUGAAACUGGCAGGCUAGAGUCUCGUAGAGGGGGGUAGAAUUCCAGGUGUAGCGGUGAAAUGCGUAGAGAUCUGGAGGAAUACCGGUGGCGAA